rnacentral:lncRNA from 1 species
AUGCUUUGUUUCUCUCAAUUUUUUUUCCCUUCUGAAGGUACUGGUGGCAAUCUUUGUCAGAAGUGCAGUAAGUUAUUCCCAGAUGACCAGUACUCCCAACAUCUGAAUAAAUGCAAUGCAGCCCAUAAGCUGACAAAAGUUCUUGCUGGCCAGUCAGCUUCAAGCCUCAUCGGUGCUCCACCACGGUCUUCUUCCUCCCUGGCUCCCUCUUCCUCCUCUGAAAAUGCAAUGGCAUGGAAAGAUGUCCGUCCCAAAGGGAAAGAAAGGGAGCAGCCACUGACCUCCAAACCUUUAAAGAGCAAAAAGAUUGGCUUUCUGUCUCCCACAAGAGGCGGAUGUUCCACAUCACCUCAAACUCUUAAAGACACUCAGUCUUUUGACAUGCUGGUGACCUGUGACCAUUGCGACAUUCUACUGCCACUUCCAACCCUUCGGAAACACGAGAUCAAAUGUCUGCAUUGGACAACUUUGCAAAAUGCUAGGAUGAAACAAAAAUCAAGCCAUGGGGAAAAAGGAGACUCUUUCUACAGCAUUCGUGAUUAAAUCUGGAAAACAGAGGCAUGUCUUCAGAUUGAAUCUUCAGCUCAGCUUUACCAAAAGGCCCUGUGGAAAUAUGAUAGCUUUAUCGGCAAAUAAAAGUGCAGACUUGCUACUCUGGAUUAAGAAC